UAAAUAUAAAAUGAGUUAAUACAUUGAAUUGUGUCGGGGUGAUUCUUUAUAUAGAGUAGUACUGUCCUACUGUUGAGUAUAGAUUCCUUUUUCACUCAGUAAGCAAAAAAAAAAGUAGAUCUGAAACCCAUCUUUCUAUCAAGAACCCCCAGCUCCAUUUCCACGCCCCAUCUCCGGCCUCCGCGACACAUAUAUCCAUUUUCGUGCUCUUCAUCUCCUAAGCUUUCAUUUGAACCGAAUAAAUCAACUUUUGAAGCAACUUCGUGGUCAACCCAUUUUCUUCCCUUCCCGGUUUAAUGCAAAAACAAAACAAAAGCCAUAUUAUCAACAACUUUCAGUCUGAUCUUAUUACCAUAAUAUCUCAGAUCUAGUCAUGUGCUUUGAAAUUGAUUUCAGCAAUGAUAUUUUUUCCCGCAACACAAAUCAUUGUAGGAAUAAAUUUUCUUUCAAAAGCUAAUGAGAUAAUCAGCUUACCUAACAACCAAAAGUAAAAUCUCAACAAUAUGCUCCAUAUAUAUUAGAGUUGAUGAAUGUUAUUGAAGUAUAACCAGGAGUUUUGUUUUACUACUUUGUUAAAGCAUAAAUUAAGUCAACUUCCAAACUACCAGUUCUUUGGUUUGAAUGUUGAUCCAACUUCUACUUCAAUAAAGUACUAAAAUAGAGCUCUUUGCUGCACAUCAUCAACAAUAAUGUAUCCGACAUAUUGGUGGAAUUUCACUUUUGGUUGUUUAGGUAAGUUAAUUAUCUUAUCAGCUCUUGAAAGAAAACGUAUUCAUACAAUGAUUUGCGUUUCGAGAACAAAUAUCAUUGUUGCAACUAGCACAUGAUUGAGUCUGAGAUAUAAUGGCAAUAAGAGCACCUCCAACAAAGGUUCACGAUGAGUUGUUAGAAUGGAAAGGCAAGUUCUUUGAGAGGUUAACUGCAGGGUAUGAAAGUGACGUGGCACAGACUAGUUCACCAUGCUUCAGUUCCUAUCAAAGUGAGAUGCAAUGACUCGUAGGCUGCUUUCAAAUGAAAAGAACUGAAAAAAUAGAGUUGCAGCUGCAGGAGUGCAAUAAUAUUUCAAAAUCAUCAAGAAACAACAUAAAUGAUAAUGGGUGCAUGACAUGAUGUCCAAUUUUUGUAGCUCAUGAGGGAGUUGCAAAUUGUUGUACUGUUUUUGAUUUAUUAUUUAGGUUUAUGGUCUUUAGGAAGAUACUACAAGUGUUAUGAAUCAAUAUCAUAUGUAUGAUUCAAAAGCAAAACAAGUUGAUACCAUAAUAUCAUUUUUAAGGAUUAAACACAAAUAAAACAAACUUUAAUUGAAUCUUCCACUAA